AGCUACCUCAUAAUUUUUGGAAUUUAAUUUGGAGUUGAAAAACUAUUUUGUUUUUAAAUAACAUUGCAUUAGAGGCAAUUAUAUGGACAAAAGUAUUUUCAAGUAUUUUAUUUUGAAGGGAAUUUAGUCCCAAGGGUUGAAUCAUAUUAGGAUAUGAUUCUACUAUUUUUCUAGAAUUUAUUUGAGUUGAUUUGGAGUUUAAAAUCAAAAGUUAUAAAGGAAAAACAGAAAAAGAAAAGGAGAAAAGAAAAAGAACAAAAAAAAAAGGAAAUGGACCGGCCGGCCAAUUUGGGCCGAACCGGCCCCGUCUCCACGCUCGCCCCCGCGUGCGCGCGUCGACCCUGCCGCAAACCGGCCCCGCCUCGCGACCCUGCCCAACCGCAGCCCCGCCCAGCCCGCCGCUGCCCGCGAGCACAACGGUCCCUGACAGGUGGGGCCCACUUGUCAGUCAUCUUCAAGCUCUGCCCACGAAUCCAGCGCACGCCGCCAUUAAGCCUCAUCUUCAAUUCGCAAUUUAGGGCGCCGUCUUAAAGCUCCUCUCGUGUCACUAUAUAAAGCACCCUCCCCUCUCUUUUCUCCCCUGCACCCCAUCACUCCACUUGCACCCACGCUGCCACAAUUGCUCGUAGGAGCUAGGCGUCCGCGCCGGCCGUCGUUGCUUGCCGCCCUCAAACCGGUGAGUAUUCGACCAAGUGCGUGUCAAUUUCCUUCUCCUCUUAUUCUUGCGCACAUUUUGACACGCCCCGUUCUUUGUUUGAUGCCCCGACGCAACCCGAAGCCGUUCACCGGAGCUCCGCUGCUGCUGUUCUUCGUUGAGCUAGGCGCCAUCCUCAUCAUCUUCGGAGCAAGCCGACCGCGUCACCCUCACCGCCUCGUCGCGCCGCCCCUCACGACGUCUUCCCCACGGACGUAAAAAAUGAUUUAAAAACUAUAUUGGAC
rnacentral:lncRNA from 1 species